GUCCUCUGGACGUCUCUGAUGAGCCGGAGCUGGGCGGGUUCCAGAGGCUGUUCUUGCCACCUCCGGUCACUCGAUCUUCUAAAAAGCAGCCCACCAUACAGAGGAGGACACUGAAGCUCAGAGAGGGCGAGUGACAUGCUUAAGGCCACUCAGCUAACACCCCGCAGAGCUGGGACUUGACCCCAUGUCAUUCUGCUCUAGAAACUGUGCUGUGAACAUGGGCCGUCCCCUUGGGGGUCAUCUGUGUUUGUCCGCCAUGCAGUGGGCACCAACAGCUGCGUGCUGGAGCCUUCCUCCCCUGUAAGGUCGGGGUGAGUGGGGGCGCUGCCUCUCUCUCUAGACUCUGAGCCCUGUGAGGUCGGGGCACUGCCCAUAUCCGUCUGUGAUUCGGGCAUGCAGCAGGCGCUCAAUAAAUGUUUCUGGAAUAAAUAAUUGAAUAAAUCAAUACACAAACUUC